UUUAUCUAGCCAAAAUAAAACGUUUUACUAUGAUUGGUUUAGUCUGCAUAUUAUGCAAUGUAUAACCCAAUCAUGGAUGGAUACGCGUAAUGCGCACAUAAAGACACAUCCGUGAAUUCGAUUAUCUGGCCCGGGUUGGUCCCUACCCCAUGGAAGUUUACAUUUAAAAUAGUUAAAGAGCGACUGCCCCUAAAAAAACAGCGAUGUGGCAUUGAUAUGAGUCAAACAUUUAUUCUAGUGUCAAACUUGACUAUAAAGUGCUAAAAUAAUAAUUUUGUUCAUGAAGUCAGUCUUGUCUGAACCUCGGGGCAUCACACCGAGUAAAUGAAUGUUGGGUUUCGAUUACAAUUAUGUCAAUAAAUCAUGCCCCCUUUUGUCAAACUCCACGUGUAAAUUGCCCCUCCCACUUCGUUUCCUUUCAUGGAUUGAACUCAAUUGUUUCUUCGUCCUAAACCAAAGCGACCAUGGCCGUUUGAGACUGAAAAGCCCUAUACGGAUUGAUCAUGCAAUGCAUGCUUUCAGCUAGGUUGAAGGUGGGUAUAUUUUAAGGAUGCACACCCAACAACUAUGGUUUGCAUGCCCUGCAGAAGGACUCCAUCAUGCAAGUUUUAUUCCGUUGGUCCCCAGUGGAUGUCAGUAUACCGGCCGACCAUAGACUGCUGGUUAUGUACGGUCCGUAUAUUUUGAUAACUAUUAUCACUAUUAUAGCUGACACAGCUAGCUAAUGUCCGCCUACCUCAAUACAACUCGGAUUUAGCUUGGAAAAAAUAACAUUUCAAAAGAAGACAAAUACUUACUUAAAUACAAUCAUUUUGUCAUGAUUGAGAUGUCGCCAUAUUAACUUCAGAUGCAGAUUUGAAGGGACCGCUGUAUUUUAGCUAGCUAACAUUAGCAUUUUUAGCUAUUUUUGACAAACUUUGAUAGUAACAGUAAUGAGUUGCAACCGAUCUAAAGUAAAUGUGACAUAAUUAUGGCAAAGUUGUUUGCAACUAAUUAUUUGCCUACUUUGGCAAUGUCAUAUUGCCAUGCCACUUGAAAUUAGUGUAAUUUAGACGAAACAAUCACAAUAGCCUCUGAGGCGCAGCCCAUGUCUUCUAGGGCACAAAUAAAUAUUGGAUGCAGUAAUGGCGAUACUAGCUAACUCAUGUCUGACUACAACAGUGUCCCAACUAGCAGUAACAAACUCAGUCAAUCUACAUCUGUAAAGCAUAGAAGUAGCUUUCAAACGAGAUUACCUUAUUUCUCGAGCUGUGUUUAUAAUUUAGGUAGGAUGACAAUCGUUGACCCUGUUUUUCUGUUAAACAAAGUGCCAUACUGGGUGCCAUACUGAUCCCGUGGUCAUGAACGGAUGCUGGGACCUACCAGAAGGAGCAACGUUUGUCAGGCAAGACCUCAGAAUAAGUGUUUCACAACAAGUACUCUUGUGACACCUCAUCCAUUGUUGCCAGUCUCCCUCAACUCUGAUGAAAAGGACACGCCAUCAUGAGGCCUCUGACCGUGAGUUACUGCCCUGACGACACAGAUGGCUUCAUCGACAGGCACUUCCAGUCAACACCACCUAAUAAGAUUGGCUGCUGCAGUUGUUUGAGAGAUUUCCAGUUUGCAGCUGAACAUGCAGCAUAGAGAAGACAAGCAAGGGGUCCCUCAUCAGCAUCAUGCAGACAUGCCCUCACAGUGAGCAUUCCUAUGAAUGGAACAGUUGUGGCUGACUAGUAUCCGACCAGUGACCUUCACUUGUCAGCGGCAACAGCUUUCACAGGAUCAUCAUUUGUACAACUACAAACACUUCAUUAUUUUGAUACAUUUGAUUACAGAAAUUGUGAAACAAUUUAUGUAAACUGACAUUAGUUAUUGCUUAUUUUCUACUUCUUAGUUGUGUAUAAUGUCCAGGGCAUAACCUAGCCUGGUUGAACCAGCCUGAUCCCUGUGUUCACCAAAUAAUUUCACUUCAAAUUUUAUAUCUGAAGUGAAAUAGAGAAGGUGAAUGGAGCAAUCAGGAUAUUUCUACCAAGCUAAUCAUAUCCACCAUUGAUAAUGUAAUCAGUGCUGUGUGUGUGACCGACCAGUAGCUGAUCUACGCUACUAUGUCCAUCAAUAGGGCUCUGGCAAAGACCUCACCUCCAGCCUCACAUCUUGCCUGCUCACCAACAGUCUUUGAUGGGGAGAACAGAAUUAGGUUUAGGCUGACCUGUUUAAACUUCAACAUAGAAACAUGGAUGGGGGCUGCACAUGGAGACUUGCAAGAUGAUGGUAUGAAGUCCAGACUGACAGACAGGCUUGAUACUUGUCUCUGAAUGGAGAGACCUGGCAGUAUGGAGAGGGAAAACCCCUGUAUGUUCUGCACCAGGAUCAGAUAACUCCUGUUGUAUGCAGGACACCACACAGGAAGGUAUGACCACUCACAUUGCCAAGGCAGCCCCAUUACCACCAGACAUAAUGCAGAUGGGCACAGUAUCUGUAUCGGCUGGGAAUGACCAAAGAUGAUGGUGCACAUUGUUAUAUUCGCAGAACACAGCUUCUAUGGUAUUAUGUAGGCCUACAGACUUGCUUAUUCUACAUGGACCUGUUACUACAUUUCAAAAUGAUCAAGGAAGAAUAUCUUAAGGCAGGCUGCCUAUUUUGAAUGCACUGGUUGGAGUAGAAGUUGAUACAGAUGCAGCUGUCCCAGUCAGAGGGCAAGGAUGGGGACUUGAGGUUAUGGUUUUUAGUUGCAGCUCCCAUUUGAUCCUUUCAAUUAUCCAUUUCACUUCUGUAAGUGCUAAAAAAAGAGAUUUGCAUUAGUAUAAUUUUACAAACAUUCCAUUAUUCCUCAAAUACAUUCUUAAACAUUUACAAAAUAUAUUCAUCUCAUAGCAAAUCAAAUAUUACUAUCCAUACGCAGCAACAUCAAAACAUACUGCCACUAAUAAUGCAUCGAAAUGCGCUCUAUACUCAUGAAAAAGCAAGUAAAAUGUAAACAAUAUUUCAGGUUACUCACAUUGGACACUGGGAAAGCACAGAUGACAGAAAUAAAUGCGGGAGAGUUCUUCACAACUGCAUUGGUUGUUUGGCACUGAAUUAAAAAGACAAAGGAACUCAGGUAUUUAACAAGGCAAAUUGGUUGUAGGUGCGCACAGAGCCAGUGUUGCCAACUUAGCGACUUUGUCGUUAUAUUUAGCGAGUAUUCAGACCCCUCGAGCGACAAAUAAAAAAACAAAACAACUAGUGACAAAUCUAGCAACUUUUUCUGGUGUUAUUGGAGACUGAUGUGAAAGCACGUAUCGUUCUUACUCUUCUCAACGAGUAGUAGGUGCUGUCUUGGGCCCCACCCCAUCCCAAAGCACUCACAGGCGGCCAAGUCCUCGCCAGCAGUCCCUCCCAGCUGCAGUCAGAUCAGGAGAUGUUCACCCCUCCGCGUCCAGACUGCAAAUGAAUCACGCAUGCGGGAAGCCACCGCUGGCUGAUCCCACCCUGAUUUACAUAAAAACAAAUACAAUUAAACUGAAUUAGGGCCAGACUUGUUACCAUAAUUUUCUCACAUUGCCAUUGACAGUUUUUUUCUAUUGUCUCCUUUUGGUCCAUUUAGAUUGUUAAUGUCGCUUGUAUACAACAAAAAUGUUUAAAAAAAUGUUAUGGUUAAAAAUGUUUAAUGUUUUCCUGUGACUUGUUGUAAACCAAACCACAUUAAGAAAACUAACACAUAAAAUAAAAUAAAAUAAAAAACGAAGUAACUCCGCCAGAGUGUCUAUUUUGGGUCACUUUUGCCCGGAUAAAGGAGGAGGGUUGGAAUUGUGACAUAAUAUACCCAAGAAUCGACAGAAGAAAGUUAAUUUGUAGUUCUAAACAUAUUUAGGGUGUUUUUUACUCACUUUAUGUCUCUCCCACAGCGUCCAUCACAAUUAUGUUCACAUGGCCAAUUAUGCAAAUUAGAUGAUGACAUAAUUUAGUGACUUUUAGGACAGCCAAUGAACUACUUUCCUAACUGAGGAGUUGGCAACACUGCAAGCCAGUCAUCCUCACUACAAGCCCUCUCUGCCUCAGCACUGCAUUACACAUUCCUUUCAGGUGACUGUUUUAAAAGAUCAGGAACCAGUAGCUAGGUAAAACAAAAAAACUGGGCCAGAUGAAUCAUUCGAACAAAAAUAAAUUAGCCAGCCAGCUAACAUUAGCUAGCUCGCCAAGCCAAAAAUAAUUGACCUGCCAGUCCAUCUGCAAGUCUAUGGGUCAAAACCACCAGAAAUGUGCAAUAAAACUCAAUGUUAUCAAAAACAGAUAAAACAAUUAAAAACACUUAAAUGUACAUAGAGCUCUCUGCUUAGGCUGCUGCCAUGGCAACAACAUAGCUGUAAUGUAGAAGUAUGUUUGAAAAACCUAGCAACUUGGGUGUGUUCAUUUAUUCAUUCUGGAGUGCACUCUGGGCGUUGUCAGAUUGUUUGUAAAUUCAGAGCGCUCAGCCUGUCCAAGGAGUUGGGUUGAUCCAAGCGUUCUGACCUCAACCUCAGUCAAGCACCAAAGUUAACCGGCUAACGUUGGUUAGCUUGCUAGCUACGUCCAGACCAGUGGCGAUUUUAACAUGUAAAUCUUGGUGGGGAAAACUCAAACAUAAAAAAAAAUGCAUUCCAGCAAAAACACAACACUAAAAAAUACAUUAGUUGCACUAUAACGGUGGCAAGUGGUGCCCACAAACUGUUAAGGCCUACAUAAAGCUGGCCCAACAGCAGAGCUUUCUUUCCAGCACAAUGGAGUGAAUCCUUUCCACCGCUACACCUGGCUGUCAAUGGAGCCUUGUUUGUCAGCGAAACAAUUAAUUCAGCCUCGUUUAAAAACAUAGCUGAUAUGGCUGACUUGCUUAAGCAAAUAUGGCUUCUACUUACAAUUGAGAUGUACAAACGAUGGCAUAAGGGAGCGAUAAGAGUCAUUCCGUAAUUUCGAUUAAGACAUUAAAGAGCGAAUGACAACGGACGUAGUCAAUAUAGUAACUGUGUUCGGCACUUUUGAAAUGUACAGCAACAGAAUGCAGAACGUGGGCUACUCUUGCAGUAUUUAACCUGUACAACAAGUCAGAACCAUAGGAUAAAUAAAGGGAGCAGACAAUGAAACUUACAAUAUUAGAUGAUGACAUUUCUCAAAAACUGGUUGAAAGGCUACAAGUGCAGCGCCACCGAGUCAGAACAGUAAUGUUAGGCGAAAUUAAAAGGUGAAAAUAGACCAAAUUAUGGGCUACUAACAGCUUACUACACAACAUACACCUAGUAAUACUUUCUUAGCUACAGUAUACAUAUCUCCCUUGCAUAUUGCAUAAUUUAUGCAGCAGCAUACAAGACAUUUUUGGACUCACCUUGGCUUGGGAUGUGCUCACUUAAACAUGAAGGUGGUGCGGCGGUUAUGUCAUCAAACUUUGUCAAACACACAGCCACUCCAUUGAAUAACAGGCUACUGGUUGCUUUGCACUGCUUGCAGUCAGCCACUGAUUCCUUACAAACGACUCAUUGUUGAAUUUGCGAUUUCCAACUUGUUGUGUAUGCAACGGAUGUGAAACGGCUAGCUUACUUAGCGGUGAUGCGCGCUAAAUAACGUUUCAAUCAGUGACGUCACUUGCUCUGAGACCUUGAAGUAGUAGUUCCCCUUGCUCUGCAAGGGCCGUGGCUUUUUUGGAGCGAUGGGUAACAAUGCUUCGUGGGUGACUGUUGUUGAUGUGUGGAGAGGGUCCCUGAUUCACGCCCGGGUAUGGGCGAGGGGACGGUCUAAAGUUAUACUGUUACAUGUAAUCUUUAUGGCCGAUGAGCACCGAUACGCUUUAUCUAUAAUUUCUCUUCAUAUGACAAGGAUUAAAAAGCAUUUGCCAGUAGAUUGUCAACUUGAUUCAUCAUGAUGAUUCCUAGCUAAGACUUUGAAAGUAAGAUGUUGACAUGAUCAGUCCAAUCAAAACUACUGUACAUAUAAUCUGAUUUGAUGUAAUUUUAUCUGUGGCCAAUGAUCAUGAGCCUUCUUGGAAGGGCACUUGUAAUAUAACUAUGGCAGGACCCAAAGAGCUGAAAUUUUGGAUGUUGUAAUGGUUUUCUUCUGGGGAAAGAGAGGCGGACCAAAAUCCAGCGUGGUUAGUUUUGUGCAUCUUUAAUAAAGAUGAAAGUACAACAAUCUUCAAAACAUGAAAAACCAAACCAGUCCUAUCUGGUGCCACAAACAUAAAGACAGGAACAAUCACCCACAAAACCCAACACAAAACAGGCUACCUAAAUAUGGUUCCCAAUCAGAGACAAUGACUAACACCUGCCUCUGAUUGAGAACCAUAUCAGGCCAAACAUAGAAAUAGACAAACCAGACACACAACAUAGAAUGCCCACCCAGCUCACGUCCUGACCAACACUAAAACAAGGAAAACACACACGAAUGAUGGUCAGAACGUGACAGAUGUCUAUUAUUUCUCUUUCUCUAUGGACAUAAACUUUGCGAUGACGUUGUGUCCUCAUGAGUGACAGAACACUGAACCAAUCACGGCGUAAUGCUCCUAUUUUUUGCUGGCACGCCCCACCACCACAGAAAGCACUGAGCUAUGCUGAAACACCUGCAUUUUGGAGCUGCCUUACUCAAGAAAACAAAUAAUAGAACAUGAGUGUAUGCAGCUUUAUUAACUCAGUGAUAUAUUUUUUUUUACAUUGUUUGUAAACUAAUAUGUGACACGUAUUAAUUCCAAAAUAACAUGCAAAACAUGCAAGCCCUCUUUUUUUGUGCUAAAAAUGUGGGGCUCAAAACAGCACAGCACAAAACAGCACAGUUACCAAUGCUCAGGAAAACAUGAAAACAGCCUAACAGGCUCUGCCCCACCUACCCUGAAUGACGGGUCGCCACUGGUAUAGACACAAAUGAGAGAACACCUCACUCUGACUAUUUUACUUGCUGUAGCAGAGCUGGUUAGGCUCCAAUCCUCUCAGGUUUUCUAUCGAGGAAAACUCAAUUACAGCCAUUAUAGUGCAGCAAUCAGAACAGUCAGAGUGGAUCUGAAUGAAAGGAUACACUAAAAAAGAGCCUAUUCUUAUUGUUCUGUACAGCAUUUUUUAUAAUCAAAUCAUAGAAAGUUCAGUAUACACAUGUGUCAAAAGGGGAAUGCACAUGAUGCAAGGCCAUCAGAAAAACUGGCAGACUCUGGAUGCUACUAUAUUCUUGUUUCAGGGCAAUAGCCUACACCACAUACAGUUGGCUACUGUGCCAGAGCCAUACAGCAUAUACAUCAUUGAGAUCUUGACAUGAUGCCUUAAUUCCUGGGAUAGAUUAAUAAUUGCACCAAUUCAUCCCAUCCAAAAAUGAGAAUGUUCCUCAACAGGGAAACCCCUUGCAAGGUUACAUGAUGGAAUAAGAGUUUGUCUUAUGACCAUUUUAAGUGCAUUUAUAAACCCUUAUUCAACCAAGCUUUUAAUAAUAGGCUUACAAUUUGGAAAGCAUGAAUGACUUUCACAAUGUUAACCAUAACUUUUUAUUAUAGUUUCUAAAAAUGUUUAAUUGAUGGUUAAAGUAAUUGCCCGAUUUUCAAAUGCACCAUUAAAUUAUUUGACAAUUUGUAAGUAUUUUUUUGAUGUGGAAACAUUGUGAACCCGUCUUUGCGAUUUGGGCCUGUGCAUCUGACUCCAAAGCCCUUUAUUGCAGGGUUGUGUCAAUGAGGUGGUCGGGUUUUCAGUUGUCUAACACUUAUUACAUGGUUUGUGCAGGCUGAGAUAUGGUGCGUUGGGUUGCUAUCGGAAACGGAAACAUUUUAACCAGCAUGGUAACAAGCAUUCGUUGUUGCACCCCGCAAUUACCACCAGUUACAUGUUAUUACAGUGUCACUAUACAAUACUUGUUACAGGGUAAUUACAUUGAAUAAGAACCCCUUAAAAUGAAGCAUUACCAAAAUACCUGAUUCAAUUAAAAUAUAUAUGAGUGCCUUCUAAAUUUCACAAUAAAUUGAAUACCUGAAUUCUUACCAAAAUCACUGAACUACAUUAAUUAUUUGUCCGUGCCAGUAAAAGGUUUCAUGUGCUAUAAUUCAGAUAUGUCACAACUUCCGCCGAAGUCGGUUCCUCUCCUUGUUCGGGAGGGGCUCGGCGUCGCCGGUCUUCUUGCCAUCAUCAAUUCACUUUUCAUUUUCCUUUUGUCUUGUCUUCCCACACACCUGGUCUCAUUUCCCUCAUUACAUGUUGUGUAUUUAACCCUCUGUUCCCCCCCAUGUCUUUGUGCGGAAAUGUUUAUUGUAAGUGUAUGUGCACAGUUUCUCUGGUGCGCGACGGGUUUUGUACCUAUUUGUUUGUUGUUCUGGUUUCUGGUGGUAUUUAUGAAUAAAACUGCUCAGUUGAUUACCCAGUUUUGCUCUCCUGCGCCUGACUUUCCUGCCACCAGUUACUCACUCCUUUACAAGAUAAUAUCUGAUGGACUAGAAAAAUCCCUAAAGUUUAGAGUAUCUUCAUCCUUUGUCCAACUGUUGCAUUUAUUGGAAUUGUGUUUAAAACCUAAAACCUACCGUUGCUACUGAAAGGCUGUAAGGUUGAU